rnacentral:snoRNA from 1 species
GCACGAAGGUAUCUCCAGAACAGCAGAAAUGUCUGUGGUUUGGUCGCAUUUUUUAACCGUGCAAAGAUUAAAUAAAUACUGCUUACUAGCAUCGUUGGGCGACACGAGCAUCUUACUGUGGCCCUGGUUUUAUUAAAGUAGUACAAUU